rnacentral:rRNA from 1 species
AGAUUGAACGCUGGCGGCAUGCCUUACACAUGCAAGUCGAACGGCAGCACGGGAGCAAUCCUGGUGGCGAGUGGCGAACGGGUGAGUAAUACAUCGGAACGUGCCCAAUCGUGGGGGAUAACGCAGCGAAAGCUGUGCUAAUACCGCAUAAGAUCUACGGAUGAAAGCAGGGGAUCGCAAGACCUUGCGCGAAUGGAGCGGCCGAUGGCAGAUUAGGUAGUUGGUGAGGUAAAGGCUCACCAAGCCUUCGAUCUGUAGCUGGUCUGAGAGGACGACCAGCCACACUGGGACUGAGACACGGCCCAGACUCCUACGGGAGGCAGCAGUGGGGAAUUUUGGACAAUGGGCGAAAGCCUGAUCCAGCCAUGCCGCGUGCAGGAUGAAGGCCUUCGGUGUAAACUGCUUUGUACGAACGAAAGUCUCUUUACUAAUAAGAGGAUCAUGACGUACCGUAAGAAUAAGCACCGGCUAACUACGUACG